rnacentral:rRNA from 1 species
UGAGGAAUUUUGCGCAAUGGGGGAAACCCUGACGCAGCAACGCCGCGUGAGUGAUGAAGGCUUUCGGGUCGUAAAGCUCUGUCAAGUGGGAAGAAGUUGUGUAUGGCUAAUAUCUGUGCACAUUGACGGUACCACUGAAGGAAGCACCGGCUAACUCCGUGCCAGCAGCCGCGGUAAUACGGAGGGUGCAAGCGUUAUUCGGAUUUACUGGGCGUAAAGGGCGCGUAGGCGGCUUGAUAAGUCAGUCGUGAAAGCCCGGGGCUCAACCCCGGAAGUGCGAUUGAAACUAUCAGGCUUGAGUAUGGUAGAGGGAAGUGGAAUUCCAGGUGUAGCGGUGAAAUGCGUAGAUAUCUGGAGGAACACCGGUGGCGAAGGCGACUUCCUGGACCAAUACUGACGCUGAUGCGCGAAGGUGUGGGUAGCAAACAGG